GAGAAGAAGAGAAAAUCUGAAGCAAACUCCAUGCUGAGCACAGAGCCCAAUGCUGGGCUCAAUCUCACAACCUUGGGAUCAUGACUUCAAGCGAAAAUGAGAGUUGGACACUGGACCACCCAGAUAAAUUGGUAACCAGUCUGCUGAAACCAUGGAAGCUAUUGUUGUUAAUGCUACCAAUCUAAAUACUGCACUAUUGCUUCUACUACAAGCUCAUCACAGCAAACUGAA
rnacentral:lncRNA from 1 species